GCCCAAACUAACCUUUCUCUUUCCUUUGUCCUAACUUUUAAAGGGAAAGAUUAUUUCUAUGUCAUCAGUUGGUAAAACCAAUAGGAUACUGAAGGUGUGGUCAACCUGCAGAUCGUAAUUUAGAUUUUUGGUCCAUAGAGGGCACUCUCAUCUCACUAAAUUCUCCUAUCCAGGAAAGAGUUAACUUUUCCUGAUGACCAUUUUGACGUCAUUUGGCUUAUCUAAAAUGACUGCCAUAACUUACAUUUGCUGUCAGUUCAAAGCGUUU